GGGUUCAGAACGUCGUGAGACAGUUUGGUCCCUAUCUGUCGUGGGCGUAGGAAGUUUGAUAGGAGUUGUCCCUAGUACGAGAGGACCGGGAUGAACAUAGCAAUGGUACAUCGGUUGUCACGCCAGUGGCACAGCCGGGUAGCUACCUCUGGAAUUGAUAAACGCUGAAAGCAUCUAAGCGUGAAGCGAACCUAAAGAUGAGACUUCCCAUUCGAAAGAAGUAAGACCCCCUGAAAGUUACAGGGUUGAUAGGUUAGAAGUGUAAGCAUAGCGAUAUGUUCAGCUGACUAAUACUAAUAGGUCGAGGACUUAAUUU
rnacentral:rRNA from 1 species